CAUAAUUUUUUCAGACAAAUAGACCUAAAUUUACAAAGCCUUGCAUUUCUUUUAACCACUAAGUCAUCUUAAUGAAAUGGGGGCAAACUUGAGCUUUAGUUAAGAAACCAAGGAUAAAAUCAGAAUUGAACGUAAAGACAGAGUUAAGAACAUAAUUACUUAUUGUUUUUUUUAACCAAGAGUGAAAACUAUUUAAUGAUGCUUCAUUCUGCACUAUACGAUCUGGUCAACCAAAAUCUAGCCAUCUCCCGUUGCAAUACACGGGCUUAUUUUCUAGUCUACAUAUAUACCAUGAUAUAUAUAGCUAGUGUUCUACCAGUUUUGGAACAAAUGAUCGGUUUUUUGUACUACUACUAAUAAGCUAACAUAAUUCUAAUCUCACUGCAGGAGUUCAUCGCGAUGCUACUACACCAUCACUGAUCAUCUUCAUGGUUCAAUGCCACAGCAUCUGAUGGUUCUUCUCCAUGCCAAGUUCAUAUGAAGUUACUAUCAUCAUUAAGUGAAGACGAUAAAAUAGCUGAUAUGCUAGAUCCGAAUUCCCAAUGCAUCCCAUGCCUAUGCGCGUGGUUCAUCACAACAUACUACACCUGCACCUUUUAUUUCUGCUAGUCGGAUGCAUGUAUAUACAAGAGUAGUGCACUUGAGGCAUAUAUUCGUGCAUUUUAUCUCCAGGUUAUGCUUGGAUAUGAACUGCAUGUCGACUGAAGAAAAUGCGUAUACAUAUAGUAGGAGUUGGGGGCACUAGGAAACAUGGUACGAGUCACUCAAAGAAAAUGCGUCCACACUGUUUUUGGGUGCUACUAAGAAGGCGAUCCCGUCAUGGUACGGUGGCAGUGUGCUCAACGUCGCAAGCUGACUCGUCCGCUGGUCAGAAGCACCUUGGCAUGGUUACUCCAUCACAGUUGUUCUUGCGUUGAGACAGAAGACGCGGCGCAAGCACGAGUACCUCAGUUUUUGGAUCAUUUGGCGACCCAAAUUUCUCAAGGGCUAAAUCGAUAGUAGAGAGUUAAUUGGCCUGUGACAUUCAGGUUGUGGCAUGUUCAUUUUCGCAUGUGCUGGUGUAAAUUUGUGGGCGCUGCAGCUUUCAAUUCUACUGCAAAAACCUAGCCUACAUAGUACGAUCGUCGUGUGCUGGAUAUUGGCGUCUGCCUCGUCCGCCGGCAGUAGGGAUCAACGCAAUAAAAAUCGUCAGCAGCCAGCAUAGAACAAUUUGGUUCUUCGAAUAGAAACUAAGAGCACAAUGUUGCUGCUUCCAGCUCUUCUUGUCGGAGAGUACUCGCAAAAUUCCCAGUUUCGCCUUGAGAUCUCUAACCAUUGAAGGAGGUGCUCUGGAUGCGUGCAUGUGUUCAGUCGACACUGUAGAGAUAUACAAUGGCUCACAUUUUCUUACGGGGAAUUCUUCGAUUAAAGGGCGGAUAUGGUUUCAAGUGGUUCUCUACGGAGAAUCAAGUGAGAGAAAACAAGUUCAUAUUAGAUUUGACGGGGAGAUUUUGGACCCACGGAGAUGGGGAUGUAUAUUCUGGCCGGUGAUUGUAAUUUUGGUAGGAAAUUUCAGAACCUCCCCAAACCAAGUCAAUAUCGAAUUUUUUUUUUCAAAAUUUUACGAAUUUGAUCAAAAUUUAAUCAAAUUCAGCUUUUUCCCGAAUAAGAUCUCCUAGCUGAGAUAUUUUUUCUCGAAUAAGAUCUCCUAGCUGAGAUACUGUCUUUCACUCUUUAGUAAUUAUUAAUAAUCCAGUAAAGAGGAUAAUAAUAUGAUACUACAGUACAUUCUGAGUAAA